rnacentral:rRNA from 1 species
AUACGGAGGGUGCAAGCGUUGUUCGGAAUUACUGGGCGUAAAGCGCGCGUAGGCGGCUGGGUAAGUCGGAUGUGAAAGCCCCGGGCUCAACCUGGGAACUGCGCUUGAAACGUGUGGGCUAGAGUCCGGGAGAGGAUGGUGGAAUUCCCAGUGUAGAGGUGAAAUUCGUAGAUAUUGGGAAGAACACCAGUUGCGAAGGCGGCUACCUGGACCGGUACUGACGCUGAGGUGCGAAAGCGUGGGGAGCAAACAGGAUUAGAAACCCCAGUAGUCC